rnacentral:rRNA from 1 species
CGUAGGUGGCAAGCGUUGUCCGGAUUUACUGGGUGUAAAGGGAGCGUAGGUGGUAUGGCAAGUCAGAUGUGAAAGCCCGGGGCUCAACCCCGGGACUGCAUUUGAAACUGUCAGACUAGAGUGCAGGAGAGGUAAGUGGAAUUCCUAGUGUAGCGGUGAAAUGCGUAGAUAUUAGGAGGAACACCAGUGGCGAAGGCGGCUUUCUGGACUGUAACUGACGCUGAGGCAUGAAAGUGUGGGGAGCAAACAG